GCAGUCGGCCGGUCCUGUAAAGCGGAGGAAUUUUCCCUUCUCCCCUUUAGCCAAGCUUUCAAAUCUUGUUCCUUCCCCCCCCCCCCCCCUUUUCUCCAGAAAUUCCUUCCCGGGAUGAGGAGCCUCGCUUAGCUGCUCCUGAGCCCCGAUCUACCCCGCCGAAAUGUAUUUUGUUUCGCAGUGUCACAUGUUUUGGGUUUUAAAACUGUGAAACCUUUACUUCCAGAGAUCAAAAUGUCUCACUAAACAUUUGCUUAUUAUCUGAUCCGUAAAGUUUAAUAUUUAACCUUUUUUUAGCCCCCCCCGAGCUGAUAAAUUCGCAAGCUCCCAUACCCUUUUCUUUCCUCAUUUUACUUUAAUGUGCUUUACUGAAGCCUACUUAAAAAUAUUUUUUUUCGGUAAAAGUUGAUUUAUUACUGAAGACGCGGUUCCUUUUCCCUCUACUAUAACUGCGAUUUGCUUAGAUUCUAGAGGAGUCGCGACUCGGGUUGUUUUUUUUUUUGGUUUGGUUUGGUUGUUUUGUUUGGGUUGUUGGUUUUUUUUUUUUGGUUGUUGUUUUGGGGUUUUAUUUUUUUUUUUGCCCAGAAAUUAAAACCACGGGUUGGUUUCAUUUUCAACAGAAUUCGCAAGGAAAUUCCGCAACUGGUUGGUUCGCAGAUCGCUAGUAGUGGAGUGGGGGGAAAAUGAUAAAGAUUCAAUUGUGUCCAUCGUAAAAGAAAGAAGCAAAAAUGAAUCCUUCCCAUCGCUAACCUAACCGUGUUCGGAGAUGGAAACCUCUUCCCCAGUGUUUGGCUGCAGCAGGAAUGGAGAGGGAUCGUUUCUAAAGAACUUCAUUUUAUUUUCCGGGAAUCUGAAGGCGGGAAGAGGAGGUCUUGGAGGGGACUAGAUGGGAAACUGGGGGGGGAAGAGGGAGGCGACGAGAGACCAAGAAGCCCUUCUCGGUUCUAGUCCCCAGAAAGGUUCCAUGAAUCUCACAGGAAUGUAGCUAGGAUAGAGGGGCUAACUUGGGGAGAAGGGAGUGGAGGAGACGAGGGGAUCUGAUCUUCCGAGAGAGGGGGAAAAAAAGCC
rnacentral:lncRNA from 1 species